GAUUGAGAAAUUGUUGAAGAAAAGGUGAAUAAAUUGUACUAUUUUUAUUGAAGUUAUACUUCUUAUACGACUUCGGAAAAGGUUGCGAUAAUUGUUUAACGCUUCAACAUAUACACAUGUGUACGAAUAUGUAUGUAUGUUUGUAUGCUUGCGCAUUAUUUUUCUUUCGUUUCGGUUUCAUUUCUGCGAAUUCUCAACUAUUUUAUGUGACUUUUGGUUGAAAUACUCUGCGUUAGCCGUUGAAAAGUUAACUGCCUUCCCUAAAUAAAAGCGGCAGCGGCAAAUGAAUGUCAAAAAAUUCUCAAGCCGAUGCAAUUUGUAUGGCGCAUACCUAAAUAACACGACGGCGACGCUGAGCGGUUGAGCUUGAGCGGAAACGUAGUUUCUAUGAUACAAUAAAAUUUCACAACAACAAUUCAAGUAAACAUUUUGAUAUUUGACGUAAAGUUGCAGCUUUUAUUUAGGGAUGGCGCAUCGACGUUAACGCUCGGCGGUAAAAAACAUUCCGCCAACGCUUUUAUUUAGGGGAGGCAGUAAGACUUGAUUUAUCACAAUGAGCAAGACAAAUGUCAUAUUCUCACUCCUCAUUUAGAUAUAAAGGCUCCGUACGCGAGUGAUGCUGAUGUGACGAUAUCAACAUCAACAAGAAUUGGCGAUUUGUGUGCGCAAAUUCAUCGAUGAGAGAUAUAAAAUUGUUCAUCGGUAAAGCUUUAUUACCGUUGUCAACUGCAGGUUCACAAGCUUUUGCCGAUAUUAUCGGAGAACCAGUCCAGUAUAGCGAACAACCGGUACUCCUUGCGGGAGAUUUCAAUGUAAAUUCCUCAUUGCCAGAAGCUGAACCAUUACUGGCAUUCCUCAGAGAGAAAUUUUCAUUAGAAAUUAUCAAUGGAAGAAAUGAUCCUACGACAAAAGGAGGUACGACUAUUGAUGCGGUAUUCGCGAGAAAUAUAGAUAAAAUAGAUACUUUCAGCAUGUAAGCUUGCGGAACAGAUGAGAGACAGUCAUACUUAGUGAGAGGCGGUGAGAGUGGGUAAGAGCCAGUGGUAGCUAAUGAGAGAGCCUGUGGCAGUCGGUGAGGAGCAGUGAAAGCCGGUCAGAAGCAAAACCAGCAAGAUCCUUGGGGAAUCAGCUGGAGAGACUGUAAAUUAUCACAAAACUCACCAAGAACCGGAAAGUACUGGACAAUUUAUAUAAAUUAUACCCUAUAGCAAUACAUUGUUAUACACUAGAUUUCGGUAGUCGAAAACUAAAGGUAUAGAUAAUUAUUUGUUCAUAAUGACAAUGGGACUGUCUUAAAGAUAUUACUUAGUCCAACAGCUAGUUUUAAAACAAAUUGCCACAGACAUAUGUAUAUAUAAUAAUGUACUUUAACUUCAUGCUUUUUUUUUCAUUAAGUGGGUUUAAUAAUUCUCUAUAUGUAGUCCCACUUCUUAUCUAAUAUUGUAUUUCCCUUUAAUUACCACUUGAAAACUCGUAAAAUUA